rnacentral:rRNA from 1 species
UCGACCUGAGAUCAGACGAGACUACCCGCUGAACUUAAGCAUAUCACUAAGCGG